rnacentral:rRNA from 1 species
GAUGAACGCUGGCGGCGUGCCUAAUACAUGCAAGUCGAGCGAACAGACGAGGAGCUUGCUCCUCUGACGUUAGCGGCGGACGGGUGAGUAACACGUGGAUAACCUACCUAUAAGACUGGGAUAACUUCGGGAAACCGGAGCUAAUACCGGAUAAUAUAUUGAACCGCAUGGUUCAAUAGUGAAAGACGGUUUUGCUGUCACUUAUAGAUGGAUCCGCGCCGCAUUAGCUAGUUGGUAAGGUAACGGCUUACCAAGGCAACGAUGCGUAGCCGACCUGAGAGGGUGAUCGGCCACACUGGAACUGAGACACGGUCCAGACUCCUACGGGAGGCAGCAGUAGGGAUUCUUCCGCAAUGGGCGAAAGCUUGACGGAGCAACGCCGCGUGAGUGAUGAAGGUCUUCGGAUCGUAAAACUCUGUUAUUAGGGAAGAACAAAUGUGUAAGUAACUAUGCACGUCUUGGCGGUACCUAAUCAGAAAGCCACGGCUAACUACGUG